UUUGAUUUAUACUACACUGAAACACAACAAAAACUUUUGGUCAAUUUGUCACAUGAUAGGUGCAGAAUUAGUUCGCAUAAAGUUACUUCCCUUAGAUUGAACUUUGCCAUUUGUAAGGGAAAAAAACGCGGAUCUUUCAACAGAUGAUGUUUAUCAAUUUUGUUCGGUACCAGUUUAACAGAACAGUGAACGGCCACUACGGUUAAAUGCUUGAUGACAAGUUAUUUUACCAUCCGACCAGUUCAAUGCAGAGGAUGAAAUUGUUGACGGUCUGGUACUACACCAGGAUUUGGAUCUACGGCAUUUGGACAGGCAACACAUACAGCUGGAGGAGGGUUAUUUGGGCAGGGUUUGAUGGGGACCGGCACAAGGACUUGUCUCUUUGGUGGAAGUGGAAGGUCAGCUUUUGGGACACAGUCAUCAGGAUUUAAUUUCGGUGCAACCCCUAGCAGUACAGGUGGACUGUUUGGACAGGGGACUACAGCCAACACUGGCCUGUUUGGCACACCAGCUGCAGCUAGCACCAGUAAUUUAUUUGGAUUCAGUAGUGCAGCAGGUGGAUUUAGAACUACAACAAUAAAAAGCAGCACUCAUUGGAGGUCUGUUUGGAACGACAAAUAGUGCAGACACCGGGCUCUUUGGGGCAAGUCCAGCAUUUUCUCAGCAGCCCCAGACUGGCACAGCUGUCAAAUUUAAUCCACACCAGGGUCAGGAUAUGAUGGUAAAGAAUGGUGUAACACAGAAUAUCAAUACAAAACAUCAGUGUAUCACUGCAAUGAAAGUACGAUGGGGAAAAGUCUGGAGAAACAAUAUAUUAUCGUGCAUGAACCACUAGUUGUCAUUAACAGCACGAGAGUCAUCUGGCAUGGGGGGUACCAGAUGGGUUUUGCCGGCAUGGGUAAAAUCACCGGAAACGCCAGUCCGAUGUGCAAGAAAGCCUUGUUGCUACCAGUUACUCAAAAUAUAGACGUCUUCUCCAGAAAAACUUCAGGGCUUGGAUUUGGAACCCCUGCGGCAUCAGCCACACAAACCAAUGGGCUUUACACAGGCCAAGUCAUCAGGGUUUAGAGCAUGAUUUAUCAAUGUAACAAGAAAUAUGGUAAGGCUUGGCUGAUGGUGAAAAUGGAGGCCACAUUAAUCAAUAGAUGACCGGGUAAGCGUCCCAGAAUGCGAAAGUUUUGGUCAGGGAAAAUUGGAGUUUGGUCAGUGAAAAGUCAGGGAAAAGUCAGGGAAUUUUAUUUUCUCUGCUUUGUGGGAACCCUGUACUACACAGAGUGGGUUUGGAUUUGGAACCCAGACGAGCACAGGAACUGGUGGUCUUUUUGGUCAAGCUACACAAAACAAGUCUCUGUUUAGAGCCACAACAAUUGACAUAGCCAAGCCUGUUUGGAACAGGAGUAAACACAUUUGAGCAGACUGCUGCCAGCUCUGGUUUUGACGGUUUUGGAACAUCGCAAGGUGGUGGAUUGUUUGCAAGCAAACCUGUGUUUUGAGCCCAGACAACCUCAGCUGAUUUUGGGUCAUUCAGUAGUGCAGCUUCUGAUCUUGGCAGUACAGUUCCCAAACUAUUGGACGAUAAGUUCAUCUUUCGUAUUUCUACUUUUCAUAUAUUAAAUAUAUAUGACUGAAGGCUACUGACUUUUAACCACUUGCCCUUCACCAUCCUGGACUCGGAACCCCUCGAUGGAUUGUAGAAUUUCCUGUUAGAAGUCUGGAUGGCUAACAGAAUAAUGAUGGUUCUGUCAAUAUACUAAACCAGGUGAUCACCAAGGUAACCAUGCCUGAAAAACUGCUGGGAAGGGUCCCCUUUUGCUUUUCUUACUGCUAUUAAAAUCUCUAAUGCCACCAUAUAACCUUAUCAAAGAAAAAAUAUAUAAUGAUGACAUAAGAUAGUUGAAUCCAACAUAAUUAUCAUUUAAAACUGAUAUAUAUGUACUGGAUGCAAAGCAUCUAUUCCUAGAUACCUUCCGCAGUUGUAAUGUAAAUUAAAACAAAUUGUUUAUAGGCGAUACUAUAGAUAUGGCAAUUUAAACCUGGUUUGACAUACAGAGUACAAUUAUUUUUUGAAUGACUGCUUAGUUUUUAGCUCACAUGUCACAAAGUGACAAGGUGAGCUUUUGUUAUCGCGCAGUGUCCGUUGUCCGUGCGUAAACUUUUGCUUGUGACCACUCUAGAGGUCACAUUUUUCAUGGGAUCUCUAGAGGCCAUACUUUUCAGUGGAUCUUCAUGAAAGUUAGUCAGAAUGUUUACCUUGAUGAUAUCUAGGUCAGGUUCAAAACUGGGUCACGUGUCGUCAAAAACUAGGUCAGUAGGUCAAACAAUAAAAAAAACUUGUGACCUCUCUAGAGGCAAUAUUUUUCAAAAGAUCUGUAUGAAAGUUGGUCUGAAUGUUCAUCUUGAUUAUAUCUAGAUCAAAUUUGAAACUGGGUCAACUGCGGUCAAAAACUAGGUCAGUAGGUCUAAAAAUAGAAAAACCUUCUGACCUCUCUAGAGGCCAUAUUUUUGAAUGGAUCUUCAUGAAAAUUGGUCAGAAUGUUCACCUUGAUGAUAUCUAGGUCAGAUUCGAAACUGGGUCACAUGCCAUCAGUAACUAGGUCAGUAGGUCAAAUAUUAAAAAAAAAACUUCUGACCUCUCUAGAGGCCAUAUUUUUCAUGGGAUCUGUAUGAGAAUUGGUCUGAUUGUUCAUCUUGGUGAUGUCUAGAUCAAGUUUGAAACUGGGUCAACUGCGGUCAAAAACUAGGUCAGUAGGUCUAAAAAUAGAAAAACCGUGUGACCUCUCUAGAGGCCAUACUUUUGAAUGGAUCUUCAUGAAAGUUGGUCAGAAUGUUCACCUUGAUGAUAUCUAAGUUCGAAACUGGGUCACAUGCCUUCAGAAACUAGGUCAGUAGGUCUAAAAAUAGAAAAACCUUGUGACCUUUCUAGAGGGCAUACUUUUGAAUGGAUCUUCAUGAAAAUUGGUCUGAAUGUUCACCGUGAUGAUAUCUAGGUCAAAUUCGAAACUGGGUCACGUGCCAUCAAUAACUAGCUCAGUAGGUCAAAUAAUAAAAAAUCUUGUGACCUCUCUAGAGGCCAUAUUUUUCAAUGGAUCUUCAUGAAAAUUGGUCAGAAUGUAUCUUGAUGAUAUCUAGGUCAGGUUCAAAACUGGGUCACAUGAGCUCAAAAACUAGGUCACUAUGUCAAAUAAUAGAAAAAAUGAUGUCAUACUCAGUUCAAAACUGGGUCAUGUGGGGACAGGUGAGCGAUUCAGGACCAUCAUGGGUCUCUUGUUUGUAUUGAUCAUACAUUUAUAUUUAGUCACAUUUCAAUGUAUUUCUAGGAGCAUGAACUUGUAUUCACUUCUUCACUGAGUGACAAACGAGUGACGUGAAUUAUGUUCAUCAGACAUUUAUGUUGAAGUAACAAACAAAAACAUAAAUAUUUUAUGCCUCCAAACAGAUAGGUUAAAGUCAUUGACUUCAAAUGACUUGCUUCUGACAUCUUUUGGACAGAGUCCUGCUCUGGUCAUCAUGACUUCUUAUAUGACACCAGUACUGGUUUUUCCAGGAAGUGGACUCAAGAGUGGUUACAAUAAGCUUGAAGCUUUCAUUACAAUUGAGCUAAAACAAAUUAGUAUAAACUAAACUAAGGAAAUCAUCGAGUUGGCUUGCUGGAGCCUGAUGGUUUCACCCAUGUGUCCACUUAUGCAUAAAUAGUGCCUUGACAUGCUCCCUUUUCUUCCUACAUUUACGCUGUCGAAACUUGAAAGUUGCUGUAUGACCUGAAAAGAAGUCAACAGAUAUAUGUCAUAACAUACAUGUAAUUACAAUUAAAUUUCCACAGGACAGCAAAUCAAGCUGCAGUCAACCAGACAGCUCAGCUACAGCAGACAGUGCUAGCACUUACACAUUCUCUUUACGGUGAUUAUCCACUUUUCUGGAACAUUAAAGAGAGUCCAAACGGUAAGAUGUUCUGAAACCCACAAACCUGGUGGCACAGAAAGCCAUUCUGACUAAUCAACAAAAUGAGUCCAAGACCUAUGGCAGAGUAACUGCAGUCUCAGAUAUUUGAAGGCUUGGAAGAAGAUGAUUUCAGUUUUGGAAGCGACACAUUCCAGCCAAGGAAGAGUGUUAAGAAACUGACAAUUAAAAAGGUCCUCUCCUGUUGCAUACCAUGAACAGAAGACAGGAGGCUGAUGUUCCAGAAACUGAGAAUAUCAUCAGAAGUAAAGGCAUCUCUGAUCAGAUGGAUACACCAGAUAGAAGAGUCCUGAGAAGUUGAAGGCAAUGACAAGAUAAGAUAAGAAGAGAAUUCUCUUAAAGCCAGUGCCAUGUUUAUUGACAGGGUAUUGGGUGUUUGAGUAUAUUGCUGUACUAUUUUGAAGAUGUGUUUAUUACUUUUACUGAUGUACAUUUCUGUUAGAAAUCUCACUAAGGGUAUUACUUUAACUACUUGUAGCCUUCUAUAUUCCUCUAAAGUUACUAAAAUUACACAAUAACUAAGCUGGCUUACAAAAGAAGGUUAUAUCCUUGAGUUGGCUUAUGCCUGAAACAAUGACCCAAUCUUCCUUCACCACUAUCAAAAAUGGAAUGUUGCUAUAUGACCUAAAACAUGUCAGUGAUUGAACACAACAAAAAAAAAAACCCAAAACAAAUAAACUAACUUUCUUUUUUUGGUCAAGAGGGAGAGCAACCAAAAAUUUAUACUAUGCAAGUCUGACUUAUGAUUUGUGUUUUACAAAACAUUUUUUCUCUCUCAACCUUAGUGUGUUUGGACAAGUUGUCAAAGGGAAAUGUAUCAUUCGGAGUUCAAGUUUAAAAAUUAAAGAACUUCUGAAUCGCCAUUAAGUUCUGCAAAAAUACUGAACUGGUAGAUGUACAUAUGACUUAGAAAUAGACAGGUUUCUAAAGUUUUUAAGAAUCCCUCUUUAGUAUGGUUAAGAACUGAUAUUUGCUC